rnacentral:rRNA from 1 species
AUUGAACGCUGGCGGCAUGCUUUACACAUGCAAGUCGAACGGUAACAGGCCGCCAGGUGCUGACGAGUGGCGCACGGGUGAGUAAUGCAUCGGAACGUGCCCAGUCGUGGGGGAUAACUACUCGAAAGAGUAGCUAAUACCGCAUACGAUCUAUGGAUGAAAGCGGGGGACCGUAAGGCCUCGCGCGAUUGGAGCGGCCGAUGUCAGAUUAGGUAGUUGGUGGGGUAAAGGCUCACCAAGCCAACGAUCUGUAGCUGGUCUGAGAGGACAACCAGCCACACUGGGACUGAGACACGGCCCAGACUCCUACGGGAGGCAGCAGUGGGGAAUUUUGGACAAUGGGCGCAAGCCUGAUCCAGCAAUGCCGCGUGCAGGAAGAAGGCCUUCGGGUUGUAAACUGCUUUUGUACGGAACGAAACGGCUCUGGUUAAUACCCGGGGCUAAUGACGGUACCGUAAGAAUAAGCACCGGCUAACUACGUG